rnacentral:sRNA from 1 species
GCCAGGCGCAGUGCUGCACGCCUGUAAUCCCAGGGGCUCGGGAGGCUGAGGCAGAAGGAUUGCGAGUUCAAAACCAGCCUCAGUAAAAGGGAAGAAUUAAGCAACUCAGUGAGACCCUGUCUCUA